rnacentral:rRNA from 1 species
CCUACGGGAGGCAGCAGUGAGGAAUAUUGGUCAAUGGGCGAGAGCCUGAACCAGCCAAGUCGCGUGAAGGAUGACGGCCCUACGGGUUGUAAACUUCUUUUGUCAGGGAGCAAUUGGGUCCACGCGUGGGCUUAGCGAGAGUACCUGAAGAACAAGCAUCGGCUAACUCCGUACCAGCAGCCGCGGUAAUACGGAGGAUGCGGGCGUUAUCCGGAUUUAUUGGGUUUAAAGGGUGCGUAGGCGGAAUAUCAAGUCAGCGGUAAAAAUUCGGGGCGAAACCCCGUCGUGCAGGUGAAACUGAUUUUCUUGAGUGUGCGAGAAGUAAGCGGAAUGCGUGGUGUAGCGGUGAAAUGCAUAGAUAUCACGAAGAACUCCGAUGGCGAAGGCAGCAUACCGGCGCCCAACUGACGCUGAAGCACGAAAGCGUGGGUAUCGAACAGGAUUAGAUACCCGGGUAGUC